rnacentral:rRNA from 1 species
CAGCACAAGGAGCAAUCUGAGGUGGCGACCGGCGCACGGGUGAGUAACACGUAUGCAACCUGCCUGUAAGCGGGGAAUAACCCGUUGAAAGACGGACUAAUACCGCAUAAUACUAAAUUACUGCAUGGUAAUUUAUUUAAACAUUUAUGGCUUACAGAUGGGCAUGCGCAUGAUUAGCUAGUUGGAGAGGUAACGGCUCCCCAAGGCAACGAUCAUUAGGGGUUCUGAGAGGAAGGUCCCCCACACUGGUACUGAGACACGGACCAGACUCCUACGGGAGGCAGCAGUGAGGAAUAUUGGUCAAUGGACGAGAGUCUGAACCAGCCAAGUCGCGUGCAGGAAGAAUGUCCUAAUGGAUUGUAAACUGCUUUUGCAGGGGGAAUAAAGUGCAUCACGUGUGAUGUUUUGUAUGUACUCUGCGAAUAAGGAUCGGCUAACUCCGUGCCAGCAGCUGC